GAAAAAUCCCCCCAAAAAACACAAAAAAUGAAAAAACAAAGAAAAAGAGAAAAAACGACCCCAAAAAAAUCAAAACAA
rnacentral:ribozyme from 1 species